rnacentral:tRNA from 1 species
ACCUAGCUGGCUCUGUCUGUAGAGCAUGUGACUCUUGAUCUCAGUGCUGUGAAUUUGAUUCCUAUGUUGGGUG